rnacentral:rRNA from 1 species
UACGGGGGGGGCAAGCGUUGUUCGGAAUUACUGGGCGUAAAGGGCUCGUAGGUGGUCAACUAAGUCAUACGUGAAAUCCCUCGGCUUAACCGGGGAACUGCGCCUGAUACUGGUUGACUUGAGUUUGGGAGAGGGACGCGGAAUUCCAGGUGUAGCGGUGAAAUGCGUAGAUAUCUGGAGGAAAACCGGUGGCGAAGGCGGGUCUCUGGGCAGUAACUGACGCUGAGGAGCGAAAGCGUGGGGAGCGAACAGG